rnacentral:rRNA from 1 species
CAGCAGCCACGGUAAUACGAAGGGGGCUAGCGUUGUUCGGAAUUACUGGGCGUAAAGGGCGCGUAGGCGGCCAUUCAAGUUAGAUGUGAAAGCCCUGGGCUCAACCUAGGAAUUGCAUUUGAUACUGUUUGGCUUGAGUUCGGGAGAGGUGAGUGGAAUUCCCAGUGUAGAGGUGAAAUUCGUAGAUAUUGGGAAGAACACCAGUGGCGAAGGCGGCUCACUGGACCGACACUGACGCUGAGGCGCGAAAGCGUGGGGAGCAAACAGGAUUAGAUACCCCGGUAGUCCCUGUCUCUUAUAA